GUGAUUUGAAAUGACUUCGCAUACUACACACAGUUAUGUGCCAUCCAGUAGAUUGGAAGCAGCUGAGAGAGGAGAACCGCAGGCUGCAACAGGAGAAUUGUUCACUGAAACUAAAAAUAACACUGAAAUGUAAUGCUAUUAUUAUUCAAUAAAUGAUCACCAGUUUAAAGAA